UCCGGCUUUCACCGGCUGUCUCUCUAGAGUGCCCAACUUAAUGAUGGCAACUAAAAAUGAGGGUUGCGCUCGUUGCGGGACUGAACCCAACAUCUCACGACACGAGCUGACGACAACCAUGCACCACCUGUCUCCUUUGUCCCGAAGGAAAAAUCUAUCUCUAGACCUGUCAAAGGGAUGUCAAGACCUGGUAAGGUUCUUCGCGUAUCUUCGAAUUAAACCACAUGCUCCACCGCUUGUGCGGGCCCCCGUCAAUUCCUUUGAGUUUCAACCUUGCGGUCGUACUCCCCAGGCGGAGUGCUUAAUGGGUUUCCUUCGGCACUGGGGGCCUAAGCCCCCAACACCUAGCACUCAUCGUUUACGGCGUGGACUAC
rnacentral:misc_RNA from 1 species